UGUGGGGCAUCUGAUUGUUUC
rnacentral:siRNA from 1 species